rnacentral:hammerhead_ribozyme from 1 species
GUCCAGCUGACGAGUCUCAAUUAGGACGAAACGCAUGUCCUGGAU